GAUGAACGCUAGCGGCAGGCCUAAUACAUGCAAGUCGAACGGUGUCUUCGGACAUAGUGGCGCACGGGUGCGUAACACGUAUGCAACCUAUCUUACAUUGGGGGAUAGCCUUUCGAAAGGGAGAUUAAUACCGCAUAAGACAGUAGCUGGGCAUCCAGCAGCUGUUAAAGAUUUAUCGAUGUAAGCUGGGCAUGCGUCCAAUUAGUUAGUUGGUGAGGUAACGGCUCACCAAGGCAAUGAUUGGUAGGGGAACUGAGAGGUCAAUCCCCCACACUGGCACUGGAAUACGGGCCAGACUCCUACGGGAGGCAGCAGUAGGGAAUAUUGGGCAAUGGACGCAAGUCUGACCCAGCCAUGCCGCGUGCAGGAUGAAGGCGUUAUGCGUUGUAAACUGCUUUUAUACAGGAAGAAACGACUCUUGCGAGAGGCAUUGACGAUACUGUAUGAAUAAGCACCGGCUAACUCCGUGCCAGCCGCCGCGGUAAUAC
rnacentral:rRNA from 1 species